rnacentral:rRNA from 1 species
CGGCGGUAAUAGAUCGGUGUGCGUAAGAUUAGCUAGUUGGUGAGGUAACGGCUCACCAAGGCGACGAUCUUUAGGGGGCGUGAGAGCGUGAUCCCCCACACGGGUACUGAGACACGGACCCGACUCCUACGGGAGGCAGCAGUAAGGAAUAUUGGUCAAUGGAGGCAACUCUGAACCAGCCACGCCGCGUGGACGAUGAAGGCCCUCUGGGUUGUAAAGUUCUUUAGUCUGGGACGAAAAAAGGAGAUUUAUCUUCGACUGACGGUACCAGAAGAAUAAGCACCGGCUAACUCCGUG